CAUUAAAAAAUUCCAACUAAAAGUUAGCCAGCCUUUAUAGGCUGCUAAUCUUUUAAACCCUUGUGAACUGUUUAUUGUCUAUGGUGGGUUAAAAGAUCUCUAUCUUUCUCUUGUAGUUAGUAAAGAUUGGCUUUAACCAGCUACCCACCUAUUUAUUAAACACCUUAAAUAUUUUUAGUCUUUAACAAUUCUAUUUUGAAUUCUUUGAAUUUAAAAACAACUUUUGACAACGGAUCUCUUGGUUCUCGCAACGAUGAAGAACGCAGCGAAAUGCGAUAAGUAAUGUGAAUUGCAGAUUUUCGUGAAUCAUUAAAUCUUUGAACGCAACUUGCGCCCUUUGGUAUUCCGGAGGGCAUAUCUGUUUGAGAAUCAGUUUAACCCUCACACUCUAACAAGUGUGGAAAUGAGAUUUCUCCUUAAAACCGAGUAUCUUUAAACUGAUUACCAACACUUGUUUAUCAAUACUUUUGUUAAACGGCAAGAUUACUGGAUGGUUUUAACCGUUCUUUACUUUGCUUACUAGACAGUUGAGGCGAUUACAUUUAAGUUGGCUAAAAAAGUUAUACGAAAGUCCUUUUUGAAAAAAAAGGCUUUUAAGACUUGGUCUCAAAUCAGAUAAGACUACCCGCUGAACUUAA
rnacentral:rRNA from 1 species